rnacentral:rRNA from 1 species
UACGUAGGAUGCUAGCGUUGUCCGGAUUUACUGGGCGUAAAGCGCGCGCAGGCGGCACUGUAAGUAAGGUGUGAAAUAUCCCUGCUCAACGGGGAGGGUGCACUUUAGACUGCAGAGCUAGAGGACGGUAGAGGGGGGUGGAAUUGCUGGUGUAGCGGUGAAAUGCGUAGAGAUCAGCAGGAACACCCGUGGCGAAGGCAGCUCUCUGGGACGGUACUGACGCUGAGACGCGAAAGCGUGGGGAGCGAACAGG